UACGAAGGAUGCAAGCGUUACUCGGAUUUAUUGGGCGUAAAGAAUGCGUAGGCGGAUCUAUAAGUCUUUAGUGAAAUCCCAGGGCUCAACCCUGGAACUGCUAUCGAAACUGUAGAUCUUGGAUGCGGUAGAGAGUGGGAGAAUUCUUGGUGUAGGGGUAAAAUCCGUAGAUAUCAGGAGGAAGACCGGAAGCGAAAGCGCUCACUUAGGCCGUUAUCGACGCUGAGGCAUGAAAGCGUGGGGAGCAAACAGG
rnacentral:rRNA from 1 species